rnacentral:rRNA from 1 species
CGCUGGCGGCGUGCCUAACACAUGCAAGUCGAACGGGGUGAUUCCUUCGGGAGAUCACUUAGUGGCGAACGGGUGAGUAACGCGUGAGGAACCUGCCUUGCAGUGGGGAAUAACAGUCCGAAAGGACUGCUAAUACCGCAUGAUGUAUCGAGAGGGCAUCCCCUUGAUACCAAAGAUUUAUCGCUGUGAGAUGGGCUCGCGUCCGAUUAGAUAGUUGGUGAGGUAACGGCUCACCAAGUCGACGAUCGGUAGCCGGACUGAGAGGUUGAACGGCCACAUUGGGACUGAGACACGGCCCAGACUCCUACGGGAGGCAGCAGUGGGGGAUAUUGCACAAUGGGCGCAAGCCUGAUGCAGCGACGCCGCGUGUGGGAAGACGGUCUUCGGAUUGUAAACCACUGUCUUCGGGGACGAUAAUGACGGUACCCGAGGAGGAAGCUCCGGCUAACUACGUG